UACGGAGGAUGCGAGCGUUAUCCGGAUUUAUUGGGUUUAAAGGGUGCGUAGGCGGGAUGCCAAGUCAGCGGUAAAAAUGCGGUGCUCAACGCCGUCGAGCCGUUGAAACUGGCGUCCUUGAGUGGGCGAGAAGUAUGCGGAAUGCGUGGUGUAGCGGUGAAAUGCAUAGAUAUCACGCAGAACUCCGAUUGCGAAGGCGGCAUACCGGCGCCCUACUGACGCUGAGGCACGAAAGCGUGGGUAUCGAACAGG
rnacentral:rRNA from 1 species